rnacentral:rRNA from 1 species
AUACGGAGGUUCCAAGCGUUGUUCGGAAUUACUGGGCGUAAAGAGGACGCAGGCGGAUAUGUUAGUCUAAAGUGGAAAUCCAGGGCUCAACCUUGGACGUGCUUUGGAUACUGCAUAUCUUGAGUAUGUGAGAGGAAAGCGGAAUUCAGGGUGUAGCGGUGAAAUGCUUAGAUAUCCUGAGGAACACCAAUGGCGAAAGCAGCUUUCUGGCACAAGACUGACGCUGAGGUCCGAAAGCGUGGGGAGCGAACGGGAUUAGAUACCCCGGUAGUCCACGCCGUAAACGUUGUGCACUAGGUGUAGGAGGUAUCGACCCCUUCUGUGCCGCAGCUAACGCAUUAAGUGCACCGCCUGGGGAGUACGCUCGCAAGAGUGAA